rnacentral:rRNA from 1 species
GUGCCAGCAGCCGCGGUAAUACCGGCAGUCCGAGUGAUGGCCGAUCUUAUUGGGCCUAAAGCGUCCGUAGCUGGCUGAACAAGUCCGUUGGGAAAUCUGUUCGCUUAACGAGCAGGCGUCCAGCGGAAACUGUUCGGCUUGGGACCGGAAGACCUGAGGGGUACGUCCGGGGUAGGAGUGAAAUCCUGUAAUCCUGGACGGACCACCGGUGGCGAAAGCGCCUCAGGAGGACGGAUCCGACAGUGAGGGACGAAAGCUAGGGUCUCGAACCGGAUUAGAUACCCGAGUAGUCC